rnacentral:rRNA from 1 species
UACGGAGGGUGCAAGCGUUAAUCGGAAUUACUGGGCGUAAAGCGCGCGUAGGCGGCCAUGUAAGUCGGUUGUGAAAUCCCCGGGCUCAACCUGGGAAUUGCAUUCGAUACUGCAUGGCUGGAGUAUGGUAGAGGGUAGUGGAAUUCCGGGUGUAGCGGUGAAAUGCGUAGAUAUCCGGAGGAACACCAGUGGCGAAGGCGGCUACCUGGACCAAUACUGACGCUGAGGCGCGAAAGCGUGGGGAGCAAACAGG